GGCGGAGGGUGAGUAAUGUCUGGGAAACUGCCUGACCGAGGGGGAUAACUACUGGAAACGGUAGCUAAUACCGCAUAACGUCGCAAGACCAAAGAGGGGGACCUUCGGGCCUCUUGCCAUCGGAUGUGCCCAGAUGGGAUUAGCUUGUUGGUGGGGUAACGGCUCACCUAGGCGACGAUCCCUAGCUGGUCUGAGAGGAUGACCAGCCACACUGGAACUGAGACACGGUCCAGACUCCUACGGGAGGCAGCAGUGGGGAAUAUUGCACAAUGGGCGCAAGCCUGAUGCAGCCAUGCCGCGUGUAUGAAGAAGGCCUUCGGGUUGUAAAGUACUUUCAGCGGGGAGGAAGGGAGUAAAGUUAAUACCUUUGCUCAUUGACGUUACCCGCAGAAGAAGCACCGGCUAACUCCGUGCCAGCAGCCGCGGUAAUACGGAGGGUGCAAGCGUUAAUCGGAAUUACUGGGGCGUAAAAGCGCACGCAGGCGGUUUGUUAAGUCAGAUGUGAAAUCCCCCGGGCUCAACCUGGGAACUGCAUCUGAUACUGGCAAGCUUGAGUCUCGUAGAGGGGGGUAGAAUUCCAGGUGUAGCGGUGAAAUGCGUAGAGAUCUGGAGGAAUACCGGUGGCGAAGGCGGCCCCCUGGACGAAGACUGACGCUCAGGUGCGAAAGCGUGGGGAGCAAACAGGAUUAGAUACCCUGGUAGUCCACGCCGUAAACGAUGUCGACUUGGAGGUUGUGCCCUUGAGGCGUGGCUUCCGGAGCUAACGCGUUAAGUCGACCGCCUGGGGAGUACGGCCGCAAGGUUAAAACUCAAAUGAAUUGACGGGGGCCCGCACAAGCGGUGGAGCAUGUGGUUUAAUUCGAUGCAACGCGAAGAACCUUACCUGGUCUUGACAUCCACGGAASUUUUCAGAGAUGAGAAUGUGCCUUCGGGAACCGUGAGACAGGUGCUGCAUGGCUGUCGUCAGCUCGUGUUGUGAAAUGUUGGGUUAAGUCCCGCAACGAGCGCAACCCUUAUCCUUUGUUGCCAGCGGUCCGGCCGGGAACUCAAAGGAGACUGCCAGUGAUAAACUGGAGGAAGGUGGGGAUGRCGKCAAGUCAUCAUGGCCCUUACGACCAGGGCUACACACGUGCUACAAUGGCGCAUACAAAGAGAARCCGACCUCGCGAGAGCAAGCGGACCUCAUAAAGUGCGUCGUAGUCCGGAUUGGAGUCUGCAACUCGACUCCAUGAAGUCGGAAUCGCUAGUAAUCGUGGAUCA
rnacentral:rRNA from 1 species